GUAUAAAGUGGCGAACGGGUGAGUAGCACGGUGGGCAACCUGCCCUUUGCACUGGGAUAGCCUCGGGAAACCGAGGUUAAUACCGGAUACUCCAUAUUUGUCGCAUGGCGAAUAUGGGAAAGCUCCGGCGGCAAAGGAUGGGCCCGCGGCCUGUUAGCUAGUUGGUGGGGUAGUGGCCUACCAAGGCAAUGAUGGGUAGCCGGGUUGAGAGACCGACCGGCCAGAUUGGGACUGAGACACGGCCCAGACUCCUACGGGAGGCAGCAGUGGGGAAUCUUGCACAAUGGGCGAAAGCCUGAUGCAGCGACGCCGCGUGCGGGAUGAAGGCCUUCGGGUUGUAAACCGCUUUCAGCAGGGACGAGGCCGCAAGGUGACGGUACCUGCAGAAGAAGCCCCGGCUAACUACGUGCCAGCAGCCGCGGUAAUACGUAGGGGGCAAGCGUUAUCCGGAUUCAUUGGGCGUAAAGCGCGCGUAGGCGGUCUGUUAGGUCAGGAGUUAAAUCUGGGGGCUCAACCCCUAUCCGCUCCUGAUACCGGCAGGCUUGAGUCUGGUAGGGGAAGAUGGAAUUCCAAGUGUAGCGGUGAAAUGCGCAGAUAUUUGGAAGAACACCGGUGGCGAAGGCGGUCUUCUGGGCCAUGACUGACGCUGAGGCGCGAAAGCUAGGGGAGCGAACAGGAUUAGAUACUCUGGUAGUCCUAGCUGUAAACGAUGGACACUAGGUGUGGGGAGNNNAUACUUUCCGUGCCGCAGCUAACGCA
rnacentral:rRNA from 1 species